rnacentral:lncRNA from 1 species
AACACUCCAAUUCGGUCGAUAUAUCAUCAACAUCAAUUUUAUCUUCCCCAGCUUUGAGAGGAGAGACAAAUUCGAGCUUAAAUCUUGCAUUUGACACUUUAGAAAUGUCAAAUUUUCCCAUAUUGAAGCCUUCCGCUCUGUUUCUGCCUCCUUUUACACUUCAUCUGCUCAGGAACUUCUCCUAGCACCCCCGUUUUCAUCUUAGUGAUAGUUUCCUAGUCCCUCACUACAUGUGUAGGGUCAGGUACGUUAGUCUGCACAUUCACUAUUCCAUUAGAUUACUGCAAUUCAAUUGCCUUCCAUGGUGCUCCCAGUACUUCAUCAAGGUCCAAUUGGGAUGGCAAUAUAUUCAUCUUCACUAUGUUCCGCAGUUGCUUUGUCGUCACUUAAAUUCUUCAUGCUUGCUAGCUCCAUUAACCUUGAGCUGCCCACCAGCAAUUUUCUACCUCCAGCUACCUCCCCAUGCGCACAGUUGCCUUGAGAUCCCUUCUUCCUUAGUUGUUUUGCAUUUUCCUGAGCUUCAAUUGCCUUCUGAGAUUGGGUUCGAGCUCUCCUCCCCAUGGGUGCGCACGUUAAGCUAACUUGCCCUGAGAGAGACUCGUUCCCUA